rnacentral:tRNA from 1 species
GGAGACGUAGCGAAGUGGUCAUAACGCGCCUGACUCGAAAUCAGUUGACCCUCACGGGUUCGUGGGUUCGAAUCCCACCGUCUCCGCCA